UGAAGAUUAGUGAACUAUUAAACACGUAUAAAUUUGAGUUAUAAAAAGGAAGUAACCACUCCAUCUUCAGC
rnacentral:tRNA from 1 species